rnacentral:rRNA from 1 species
UACGUAGGGGGCGAGCGUUGUCCGGAGUUACUGGGCGUAAAGGGCACACAGGCGGUGCGGCGCGUUUCGCGUGACAGCGGAGGGCUUAACUCUCCGAGGAUGCGAAAGACGGCGGCACUUGAGGGCCAGAGAGGGACACGGAAUUCCGGGUGGAGUGGUGAAAUGCGUAGAGAUCCGGAGGAACACCGAAGGCGAAGGCAGUGUCCUGGCUGGUGACUGACGCUGAGGUGCGAAAGCUAGGGGAGCGAACGGG